CAGUGGUUGUACUAGGAUUUAUGGAUUAGUCACUGUUGGGAGGAGGAGGAGUCCAUGUUAGCUGGAUUAUAUUAGUGCUGCUAAUUGAAGGGAAAAAAGUUAAUGCAGAUUUUGAUCAUGGACUCUGAGUCCUAGUGGUAGGUGUGAAAUGAUGUCAGAUUUCUACAGUUCAAUAUUAAAGAUCCCAAACUUGGGUUGUUUUACAGCACUCCUGUCUGAUGACUGGAGCUUGAAAAACCACUGCCAUCAUUAUGUCUAUCCACAGUGGCCCUGAAUUUGUAGAAAGACCACUUUUCCCUCUAGAAUUAAUGUCUCUGUGUGUGUCUCAUCCCAUUAAAAGGAAUGAGGUGGACUCACAACUAAAACUAUAAAAUUCAGCUAUUUGUUAACAUCAAGGCCAAUGGUAAGGAGUUCCCGUCAUGGCUCAGUGGUUAAUGAAUCCGACUGGGAACCAUGAGGUUGAGGGUUCGAUCCCUGGCCUUGCUCAGUGGGUUAAGGAUCUGGCGUUGCCAUGAGCUGUGGUGUAGGUUGCAGCUGAGGCUCGGAUCCCAUGUUGCUGUGGCUCUGGCAUAGGCCAGCGGCUAUGGCUCCGAUUCGACCCCUAGCCUGGGAACAUCCAUGUGCCUCGGGAGCAGCCCAAGAAAUGGCAAAAAGACAAAAAGAAAAAAAAAAAAAAAAGACCAAUGGUAAAAUAAGCAUACUAAACAAAAAGGCAAACUAAAGUAAAUGCAGUUAGCGUAUGGGGGUGGGGAAAAGAAAAGACAGUAAUAUACAGUGAGAAAGAAGCAGAAGACAGACAGAGGGGAUGGCUUCCUGGAAGUUUUCCUUGCGGUUCUGGGUAAAAUAAGAGAAUGAUCUGGAGAAUUAACUCUUUCCCCUCACGCCUGGAAAAAAAUACUUACUUUGGUAUUAUAUCGAAUGUUCUUGAAUUCAGAGAUGAGGAAUGAAUAUUUUAUUAGGUCAAAUAGAUUUUCUCACCACCAACUCCACAUCUUAUUCUGUAAAUCAGAAAAGAUCAUUUAUGUACCAAUUAAAAAUGUGUCAGAACACAAUUUACCUGAUUUAAGGGCUAUGGAUUAUUUUUUUCUAAUAUAGUAUAUUUUCACAUAUGUGCUGCCGUUUUUUAAAAAGAAGAAAUCAGGAAAAAUGUGUGAUCAUAUAAUUAACCUCUGGAAAGAAAAUUUUAAAGCAUAGAUUUCUCUCAGUGAAAUACACUUUAGACAUGUAUGGUAGGUGGAUGAGCCAUUGAAGCAAAACAGUUUAUUUUUGCUGGAAAAGAAGAUCCCUGUGGCCCAUUUUGUUUUUGCCUUUCUCCCAAUUCAUUGCUAUAAGCAUCCUUUGUGACUGAGCCCAACCUGAUAUGCCCUUAGAAGGUGGACACGUACACUUGUACCUGAAGCUCCAGGAGCUGGCUGGACUUUCUCCUUCCCUGUCAAAGCUGUGAUUCUAAAAGUUUAAAGCAGAUUUGAUGAACAAGACAUUGAACUCUCCCUCUCUUGAAGUUUGCCUUCCUUCCAAAACAUGACAGAUGUGGGCUUUUUGUGAUGUAACAUUUCAUUGUGAGCAUUAAGGAAUCAAGAUGCAAAGUGGAAAAUACUGAAAAAUGAAUCACAGUUGUUGAAGCUGGAGACCAACCUGGCAGCAUCUCCAGCUCACAUCUUAGAAGGAAACUGCAGAGAAAUCCCAGGGACAGAAUUUUCCAGGCUCUGAUGGAACACAAUCCCUCGCUUAAAGGAAAGGAAAUUAUGAGGGGUGGUGAUAAGAGGCUGAAGCUACCAAGUACGCCUGGAAGAGUUUUGCACAAAUGAAUGAACCAUCUGCCCACCUGCACCACUGAAAGCAAAUAUAACAAUAAGGAAAGUGAUACUCUGCCCAUGCAAAGCAGGGUAUCUGGUUCACUUCUUCCUUUUGGAAGUAAGCUAGAACCAGGAGCAGGAUCAUCCUGAGAAGGAAAGCAGAGCUUCCUAGGUGGAACCUGCCCUAGAUGGUACAGUUGGGAUUAAGCCCAUGGACAGCUGAAAGUAGAGAAUUUUUUGGUAGAUGAGAGUUCUGGAAGGGUGUCUUAGACUUUGGAUGGCUACUCUUCUGUCCAGCGCUGUGUCCAUCUCUAAGUCCAAAGCCUCAGAGAGAGCCCACCUUGCUGAAGAGGAGCUGCUGUGUGCUCAGCAGAGUUAGAAAUGACUUCCUAUACCCUUUCCCCUGCAGUCCCCUGACUUUCCACUGCUCAGUACUGUGCUUCCCAAGUGUUCUGCUCCCAAGUCCCUGUGGAAGGGUUUUCUAAGCAUAUCCAAGCAAGGUUCCCACCUCAGCCAGGUGUCCUACUGUCAGCUCAGUGCUAACACAGUGGUCCUGAAAAGAGGUCAGACUCCACAGGUCAGAGGAGUGGGUCUGAAAAGUUCAAAUUCUCUAAUCAAGGGGUUGGUUCUCCUGGCAACAGCCCCCAUCCUUAAGUUCAUUUCCAAAGUCGCAGGAUUAACAAAAGACACCUUUGUUGCUCUCACCAUGUGAUAUUCCUAGGAUUUUAGGAGCUCUUGGUGGCAGUUUUCCUCUUAGUCUCAACUUUCCCACCCAGGCUUAAUGGGGAAAACACUUACCACAGCCAAAUGAAACAGCCUGGUUUCUAAUACUCACUGUCAUUUAGCCUCCUGAGAUAAACAAUUUGGUUCAAAGUAACCACAGGAUAGUUAAUGGAGCUACUGAGCCAGGGUUUAAAUAGGAUCAGUACUGCUGAGUACUGGGUGACCUUGGACCAGUUCCUAAUCUCUGAAUUUUGAUUUCCUCAUCGAAAUGGUGGCAAUCACCACAUUCUCCUCACUGUGUUGUUGUGAACAUUCAGUGUGAGCCAGUUUGCAUGAAGGAUGAUGUCUCUUCCUUAAUAAACACUCAAGCCACAUCUAGCAGAAGGUUUAAAAUGGGCAAAGAAAACUUUUUCAAGGCUAAGAGGUCAAGACUGUUGAAAUAGGGCAGAGAGACUGAGCUGAAGUCCAUUGAAACAGAAGGUGGAGAAUUUUUUUAACACCACUGUGAAAUAAUGGAAUGGAAAAGAAUCAGAGAAGGGCAUUGGUCAGUGUCACUGGGCCAACUUCAUUGGUGAGUGGCUUCUAGGGCAGGGAGGCUCCUCCUUCCCACAGAGACUGCGAGAUCAGUCAGGGACUCAUCUUCCUUGAUGGUUACAAAGAAGGGGUGGCAUACAGGUCCUUGAGAAAAACAUCACUGGGUUGUAGAACUAGCAAGAGCCUGGGAAAGAUUUACAGCUCAAAGGGGCAAAGAAAGAAUUUACAAUUGAAAGUCUUCUAAAGUAAAUACUCUAAGAAGAGGUAGGUUAGAAGUGUAUAGUUAUGGAGAAAUCGGUCUGAAUUUAGUCAAGUGAGGGGAACCUUUAAGGCUAGCUUGAUCAGAAUAUGAUUGUGACAAAUCUAAUUUUACCUACCUUAUAUCAUGAUGUAUCAGUGUCCAUUUUUUUUUCCACCAGGACAGAUUUAGUUUAGUAUAGCACUUUACUGAUUGAAUAAACUUGUGUCAUUGCUCAUUUAUGUUUUUUUAAUAGACAAAUAUAUUUGAAUUUUUCUAAUUACAAAUUAGUGUUUAUUGUAGAAAAUAUUGCCCCUAAAUCAAAAGAGAGAAAAUUUAGCCACUACUCAGAAAUUACCACUGCUCACAUUUCAUUGGUUAUAAAAGAUGGUGGUUCUGGUCUUUUUCUAGUUAAACACAUUUUUAAAAUAAAAUUUCAAUCAUAAUAUAAUGUCCAUUAUCAACUGUUUUUUAUGCAUAACUGUAGCUUGCCAAUAUUGUUUUAUUCUUAUCACACAUUCUACAUUUUCUUUACAUUUCUUUACUUGUGCCUUAUUGCUGAAUAUUGGAGAAAGGUGUCUUCAAAUAGGACAAGCAAUACUUAGUGACUUGAUAAUUGUUUAUCAGGUUAAACUUUAAAAACACUUUUAGUAAGUUAUUUUCCAUAAAUUUGUAUUUGAAAAGUAUACAUUUCCUACUUUCUCUCAAUUAUUUUCUGACCUUUUUUUAAUGGUUGUGCUUUAUAAAUUAAAUGAGAGUAUGAGUAUGGCGCAUAGUAGAUUCUUAGGAAAUUGUAGUGUUAAAGAAAAAGAGUCUAUGACACUUGUUAAAAAAUGAUAAGGAAGACUUUAUUCAAUGGGAGACUAUUGUGAUAAUGUUCCUGGACGAUAAGUUCUUGCCUUGUCACAGAAAGAAUUCAGAGAGGAGCCGGGGAGGUCAAGAAAGCAAAGCGAGAGAGUUCCUGUUGUGGCUCAGCAGUAACAAACCCAACUAGUAUCCAUGAGGAUCUGGGUUUGAUCCCUGGCCUCCCUCAGUGGGUUAAGGAUCUGGCGUUGCAGUGAGCUGUAGGUCACAGAUGCGGCUCCAAUUCUGUGUUGCUGUAUCCACCCCUAGCCUGGGAACUUCCAUAUGCUGCGAGCUAGGCC
rnacentral:lncRNA from 1 species